AUGAAGAAAUCAGAUUACAAUUUUUGCAAUAACAUUGUCCAAAUACCACUAACAUAUGGAGAAGAAAGGCAUAGGAUUCGAUUACCAUUCAAAGAAGUGUUAGGAAUAAGGAUUCCAGUUAGGAUUGUUCUUAAGCCAAAUAUUUCAUAUAAAAUAUUGGCACUAUUAGAUACUGGUUGCACUAAGAACAUCAUCCAUGAUAAAUAUUUUAUGAGAUGUCCCGAAAUAGUUGAAACUAUAGAUGAUAAUAAAGCUGAAGUAUCUACCGAUAUGUCAGGAAUAAAGAAGAUACAUAAUCAGCUAGCAUAUAAUAUUGAAGCUUACAUAAAUGGCACAAAAUAUAUAAUAGAUGAAAUUACAAUAAGAGAUUUGUCAGUAAUAAAUGAUGACAUGAUAAUUGGGUUAAGAUUCUUACAACAAUCUCUACAAACCACAAUCAUACAUGAAGAAGGGGUAACAUUUAUCCCUUAUCAAGAUAAUGUUCCAUACAUAUCUGAAGUAAGAAAACAAAUAAAGUCCUUACAAAAUGUAGAAAUAUCUAAUUUGGAUGAUGAAUAUGGCACAAGUCCAGAUCCCCUUGAAUUCUGUAAAGACGAAGAACUUAGUGAGACCAUAGAAGAAUAUCAUAUAGAAAAUACAUGUACAGAAUGCAUUGGGUUACAAUCAUUCUCUCCAAAUUGGUAUAGAGAUAUAAAGUCUAAAAAGGAUAUAGAUAAGAUUGUGCAAAGACUAGAAAGCAUACAAAUUAUUGGAGAAAUACCAAUGAAACAUUGGGAUAAGAAUUCUAUAGUUUGCAAAAUAAAUAUCAUAAAUCCAGAUUAUAUAAUUAAGUCAGGACCAAUAGAAGCUACUCUAAAAGAUAUUGAAGAGUUCAAAAUGCAUAUUGAAGAGUUAUUAAAGUUAAAAGCUAUAAGAGAAAGCAGAAGUCCUCAUCGAUCUGCUGCUUUUAUAGUUAAAAAUCAUGCUGAAGAAGUUAGAGGUAAAUCUAGAAUGGUAAUUAAUUUUAAAAGGCUUAAUGAUAAUACAAUUGAUGAUGCAUAUAAUAUACCUAAUAAGCAGGAAUGGAUUAACAGAAUACAAGGAAGUAAAUAUUUCUCUAAAUUCGACUUAAAGGAAGGAUUUUGGCAAGUAAAAUUGGCCGAAGAAUCUAUUCCCUGGACAGCAUUUACUUGUCCACAAAGCCAUUAUGAAUGGCUAGUAAUGCCAUUAGGUCUAAAGAAUGCACCUGCACUAUUUCAAAGAAAAAUGCAAAAUAUAUUUAAUGAGAAUCAAUCAUUUAUAUUGGUAAAUGUAGAUGAUUUGUUAGUGUUCUCAAAAUCAUACAAAGAGCAUAUAGCCCAUCUUGAAGUGUUCUUUCGAAAGGUAGAACAAAAUGGACUCAUACUAUCCAAAAAGAAGAUGGAAAUUUGCAAAGAAAAAAUAAAUUUCCUUGGUCAUGAAAUAGGAGAAGGAAAGAUAUAUCUACAAGAACAUAUUGCAAAGAAAAUAUUAUAG
rnacentral:rRNA from 1 species